GUGUUGCCGAGAUAGACAGUCAUUGAGAGAAGGCUCUGCCAGAGCAGGAUAUGGCUCAGAGCAGCUGUAAGCGCGUGUUGAUGUCGUGGUUUUAAUCGUGUAUAUAAAAAAAAGAAGUCAAUUUUCAACAGAUGGCGCACCUCUACGGGAAAGGACAGGUUCGUGCGCACUGCGAGCAGCACAAUUUGUCAGACUUGAAGCCGCCUGCGUGCUCAGCCUAAUAUCACAGGAACUUUCGUCCUUGCAGCAUGUGUAAUCUCAAAAGUGAAUGCGUAUGUUGAUAUUUCUUUUAAUUUUUCUAAUAUCUGAACGUUGAAUUUGCCCCAUAUUUGUCAUUGUUCUCCCAGUAAGAGAAUUUUAAUACAGAGGAGAAGCUCACAACUGAGUUCCAACUGAAGCACAUCUGACCGAGGUUCCAAAACCUAAAGAUUCUUCGACGGCCCUUGUGUCUCCGGCGGUAGUCUUUGUUGCGCUACCUACCCUUUUUCGUCUUUGGUGCUGCAUCGUUCCCGUGUUACCUACACGUGUGGAUUCCUCAGCCUGGCUGCUAUCUACAGCUGAUAGCGUCGACGAUUUCUGCCACCGGGUGCCACUGCCGUCCCGAUUCCUCGCUAUAAAAGCCGCCGACGUGGAAGACGACACUUUGGCAGCAGCGGUAGCGACCCUGGCACAUUGGCUUACAUUCCCCUGUUCUACGCAGAUUCUUCGACGGCCCUUGUGUCUCCGGCGGUAGUCUUUGUUGCGCUACCUACCCUUUUCGUCUUUGGUGCUGCAUCGUUCCCGUGUUACCUACACGUGUGGAUUCCUCAGCCUGGCUGCUAUCUACAGCUGAUAGCGUCGACGAUUUCUGCCACCGGGUGCCACUGCCGUCCCGAUUCCUCGCUAUAAAAGCCGCCGACGUGGAAGACAACGACACUUUGGCAGCAGCGGUAGCGACCCUGGCACAUUGGCUUACAUUCCCCUGUUCUACGCAGGUUAGUCCACGCCUUGUAACAUUCGCUCUUUAGUUCAUUUCAUGUUGUCUACUCUACCGCUGCUGCCACUCGAGUCUGUUUCCCUGUGUUUCCGUAUCCUGUUUCCAUGUCAACUGUAGGCACCUGUUGCUCAUGCAAUGAAGCUGUUAGCUCAGAUGAAAUGUCUGUGUCAUGUGGCGAAUGUAAGGGGCUCUUCCACAUUGGGGCAUGUGCUGGCUUAUCGGAUAAACAAUAUAAGAAAAAAUCUGAAUCGGCUAAACAAAAGUGGACUUGCUCUGCAUGCAGAGUCGCAGGAAAGGAUAGUGAAGGCUCAAGCGGGAAGUCGUCAGCUGAUGAACUAACUGAUAUAAGGUCGCUUUUAGCGAACAUAAGUCAAAAGUUGGAUGAGUUGAUGCCGCUCAAAGAGACUGUGCCAGGCAUUGAGCGAUCGGUGCAACUAAUGUCUGAUAAGUAUGACGAGAUGUUGGCACGAUUGGCCGCGCAAGAAAAGGACACGAAAGAAAUCAGGCAACGGCUUGAACACCUUGAACAAAGCUCUCACGCUAGUGGCGAUGCGACAAAGAAGCUAGAGGCGGAUCUCAAUGAGCUGGAAUGGAGAAACCGCAGGUUCAACCUAGAAAUUCACGGUGUUAGUGCAGCUGACAAUGAAAAUUUGCUUGAGAAAGUGAAUUCUCUUGCCACAUUGAUUGAGGUCCCAGUACUUAGUGAAACCGAUGUCGCUGCCAUUCACCGCCUUCCAUGCAAAGCCGGCCGCAUUCCUGGUAUAAUUGUGAGGUAUCUCAGGCAAUCUGUUCGAGACCAGUGGUUGGACAGCCGCUCAAAGCUGAGGGAAAAGAAAUCCAAGGUGUUCUUUCAGGAAAACAUGACCGGUUACAACCGGCAACUGCUUCGAGAGGCUAAAGACUGGGCGAAAUUGAAUGGUUACAAAUUCGCGUGGCACAGGAAUGGAAAGAUCUUGCUGCGAAAGAACGAGGGCGACUCUGUGAUCGUAGUGCGUCACAGAUCAGACUUUCCUUCCUGAGCCUGCUCUCUUGUGAGCGUACUGAAGUUGAUCAUUCCCGCCUAAAGAUGGCUACUGAUAGUCCCUUCUUUCCGCAUGAGGUAGAUAAUCUUGUGUCAAAUCAACAUGCUGGUUCAUUGAAGUGUCUUCACCUUAAUGUUCGUUCGCUUUAUAACAAAGAAACAGAUAUCGAUGACUUUAUCAAUGGUUUUCAUUUUUUGUUUGAUGCUGUAAUGCUCAGUGAAACUUGGUGCAGAGAUGGUCGUGACGUGCCUAAGUUUAGACAUUAUCAAUCGUUUUAUGUGAACCGAACGAACCGCCGUGGCGGCGGUGUUUUGCUGUUGUUGAAAGAACAUGUCAAUUGUGAAUUGCUUCCCGACUUUUGUGUUUGUUGCGACGAUUUUGAAAUGGUAACAGUUCGUGCGAAUGAGUACAUAUUUUCUGUGUGCUACAGGCCUCCAAAUGGAAAUGUUCUUCAGUUCCUUUCUUUUUAUGAACAGCUGCUGUCUUUUACUGCAGAAAAUAGCAAUUACUUGGUAUCCGCUGGUGAUUUCAAUAUCGACAUGCUGACCACUUCUGUACCACAAAAAACUAUGUUAAAUAUUUUAGCUUCAAAUGGUUAUGAAAAUUUAAUCCGUACGCCAACAAGGAUUACAUCCGAAAGUGAAACAUUGUUGGACUUGCUCAUUACAAAUGCUGACACUGAAACUGCUACUGCCGGAGUGAUGUCACACGACCUUAGUGAUCACCUUCCAGUAUUUCUUUUUCUAAGAAAACACAACUUUAAGAAGAAGAGGAAGCAUGAGUAUAUCCUAUGUCAAAGUAUUACUCAAACACGUCUAGAUAGCUUCAGAGCCGAACUUCUACGGUGCGACCUUAAACAAAUUUUAGAAAUAGAUAACGUCGAAAUCGCGUAUGGCAAGCUUAUUGAUGAAGUCUCUCGAAUAUAUAAGAACCAUUUUCCAGAAAAAAAGCUCAGGCUCGGUAAAAAAUUACGGAAGCCGUGGGUAAGCCCCGAAUUGCUAAAACGUAUUAAUUAUAAAAACGCGCUCUAUCACAAGUUCGUCAAGACUAAGGAUCCAAGUAUAUUAAAGGAAUACAAGUCGUAUAGAAACAAGCUAAAUAAGGAACUAAAAUCCCAUAGGAAGUCCUAUUUUCAUGCAGAAUUCGAGGGUUGUUUGAACAAACCUGAUACCUUAUGGAAAAAGUUAAAUGAUGUCUUGAAUCGUCGAAAAUCAGCUCCGCGAAUACAAACCCUAAUACUUGGUGGGAGCGAAGUAUCGGGAAGUGCUCUUGCAAAUGUUUUUAACGAUUACCUUGUAAACUUUUCUGGUGGUAAUGCGUCGUCUGACAUUAGUGAAUUUAUGCCGAACAGAAAUUCAUCUUCACUCUUUCUUCAUCCCUUUACUGAGCAUGAGGUGACAUCAGUUUUCCUUUCACUAAAAAAUAGC